rnacentral:rRNA from 1 species
CAGCCGCCGCGGUAAUACGUAGGGUGCAAGCGUUAAUCGGAAUUACUGGGCGUAAAGCGUGCGCAGGCGGUUAUAUAAGACAGAUGUGAAAUCCCCGGGCUCAACCUGGGAACUGCAUUUGUGACUGUAUAGCUAGAGUACGGCAGAGGGGGAUGGAAUUCCGCGUGUAGCAGUGAAAUGCGUAGAUAUGCGGAGGAACACCGAUGGCGAAGGCAAUCCCCUGGGCCUGUACUGACGCUCAUGCACGAAAGCGUGGGGAGCAAACAGGAUUAGAGACCCGGGUAGUCCCUGUCUCUUAUAC